GGACCAGGGCAGCAGCCAAGCCUGUCCAGCCCUCCCGACGUGUUAAGGCUCCGCCUCAACGAAACCCGCCAUCCUCCUUAGCCCUGCACAACCUAACUCUCCUCUCCGCCGCUCAUUGGUGGAGGCCUCGUCUAAUGGGAGCUGAAAUAUCACGGAGGAUAAAACAAGAUAAAAGCUUAGGGUAACAGAACACACCCUGAUGACUGGAGUACUGAAUAUAUAUAAAAAGAACAAGAGAAUGUAUGUGAAGCACUUUGAAUGCUCUAAAGGGCUCUACAGUAUAAUAAGAAGAGUUAUUGACUGUAGUCUGUCAAUCACGCAUGAUACUGAAAAAUAAAAAAAGUUGUUAAUUGCU